AGUAACACGUGGAUAACCUACCUAUAAGACUGGGAUAACUUCGGGAAACCGGAGCUAAUACCGGAUAACAUGUUGAACCGCAUGGUUCAACAGUGAAAGACGGUCUUGCUGUCACUUAUAGAUGGAUCCGCGCCGCAUUAGCUAGUUGGUAAGGUAACGGCUUACCAAGGCAACGAUGCGUAGCCGACCUGAGAGGGUGAUCGGCCACACUGGAACUGAGACACGGUCCAG
rnacentral:rRNA from 1 species